AGGACGAACGCUGGCGGCGUGCUUUACACAUGCAAGUCGAACGGUGAAGGUGGAGCUUGCUCCGCCGGAUCAGUGGCGAACGGGUGAGUAACACGUGGGCAACCUGCCCCUAACUUUGGGAUAACUACUCGAAAGAGUAGCUAAUACCGGAUAUGAAGUCUGUAGGCAUCUACGGAUUUGGAAAGCUUUUCGGUUAGGGAUGGGCCCGCGGCCUAUCAGCUAGUUGGUGAGGUAAUGGCUCACCAAGGCGACGAUAGGUAGCCGGCCUGAGAGGGUGAACGGCCACAAGGGGACUGAGACACGGCCCUUACUCCUACGGGAGGCAGCAGUGGGGAAUAUUGGACAAUGGACCAAAAGUCUGAUCCAGCAAUUCUGUGUGCUUGAUGAAGGCCUUCGGGUUGUAAACUGCUUUUGUACGGAACGAAAAGGUUUCUAUUAAUACUAGGAGCUCAUGACGGUACCGUAAGAAUAAGCACCGGCUAACUACGUG
rnacentral:rRNA from 1 species